ACAUGCCUACAACAUAGCAUUAAUGCAUCGGAUCUCAUUAGAACUCCAUAGUUAAGCGUGCUCGAUCUAGAGUAGUUCUGGGAUGGGUGACCGCUUGGGAAGUACUAGUAUUUUACAUGCC
rnacentral:rRNA from 1 species